rnacentral:rRNA from 1 species
AAACAACUCUCAGCAACGGAUAUCUUGGCUCUUGCAACGAUGAAGAACGCAGCGAAAUGCGAUACGUWRUGUGAAUUGCAGAAUUCCGCGAAUCAUCGAGUCUUUMGAACGCAAGUUGCGCCCGAGGCUUGUCUUAGGGCAUUUCCGCUAGAMGCGUCACC